rnacentral:rRNA from 1 species
CAAUAGCGUAUAUUAAAGUUGUUGCGGUUAAAAAGCUCGUAGUUGGAUUUCUGCUGAGAACGACCGGUCCGCCCUCUGGGUGUGUAUCUGGCUCUUUCUUGGCAUCUUCUUGGUGAACGUUGCUGCACUUGACUGUGUGGAGCGCUACCCAGGACUUUUACUUUGAGGAAAUUAGAGUGUUUCAAGCAGGCAUAUGCCUUGAAUACGUUAGCAUGGAAUAGUAAGAUAGGAUCUUGGUUCUAUUUUGUUGGUUUCUAGAGCUGAGGUAAUGAUUAAUAGGGAUAGUUGGGGGCAUUCGUAUUUAACUGUCAGAGGUGAAAUUCUUGGAUUUGUUAAAGACGAACUACUGCGAAAGCAUUUGCCAAGGAUGUUUUCGUUGA